rnacentral:rRNA from 1 species
UCGCACGAGAAAGUGGAGCAUCCAUGAGUAAAGUGGCGCACGGGUGAGUAACACGUGAAUGAUCUACCUCCGAGUGGGGAAUAACUGAGAGAAAUCUUAGCUAAUACCGCAUAAUACCCACGGGUCAAAGCAGUAAUGCGCUUGGAGAGGAGUUCGCGGCCGAUUAGCUAGUUGGCGGGGUAAUGGCCCACCAAGGCGAUGAUCGGUAUCCGGCCUGAGAGGGCGCACGGACACACUGGAACUGAAACACGGUCCAGACUCCUACGGGAGGCAGCAGUGGGGAAUUUUGCGCAAUGGGGGAAACCCUGACGCAGCAACGCCGCGUGGAGGAUGAAAUCCCUUGGGAUGUAAACUCCUUUCGAUAGGGAAGAUAAUGACGGUACCUAUAGAAGAAGCCCCGGCUAACUUCGUGCCAGCAGCCGCGGUAAUACGAGGGGGGCAAGCGUUGUUCGGAAUUAUUGGGCGUAAAGGGUGCGUAGGCGGUUUGACAGGUCUGAUGUGAAAUCUAUGGGCUCAACCCAUAGUCUGCAUCGGAAACUGUCGGGCUUGAGUAUGGGAGAGGUGAGUGGAAUUUCCGGUGUAGCGGUGAAAUGCGUAGAUAUCGGAAGGAACACCUGUGGCGAAAGCGGCUCACUGGACCAUUACUGACGCUGAGGCACGAAAGCUAGGGGAGCAAACAGGAUUAGAUACCCUGGUAGUCCUAGCCCUAAACGAUGAUUGCUUGAUGUGGCAGGUACCCAAUCC